CGCCAGCCCGCUCAGAAACUCAAAGGAAUUGACGGGGGCCCGCACAAGCGGUGGAGCAUGUGGUUUAAUUCGAUGAUACGCGAGGAACCUUACCUGGGCUCAAAUGUAUGUUGACGUAUUCUGAAAGGGAUACUUCUUCGGACAAUAUACAAGGUGCUGCAUGGUUGUCGUCAGCUCGUGCCGUGAGGUGUCGGGUUAAGUCCCAUAACGAGCGCAACCCCUAUCAUUAGUUGCCAUCAGGUCAAGCUGGGGACUCUAAUGAAACUGCCUACGCAAGUAGUGAGGAAGGUGGGGAUGACGUCAAAUCAGCACGGCCCUUACGUCCAGGGCUACACACGUGCUACAAUGGCCGGUACAAAGGGCAGCUACCUGGUGACAGGAUGCUAAUCUCAAAAGCCGGUCUCAGUUCGGAUCGGAGUCUGCAACCCGACUCCGUGAAGCUGGGAUCGCUAGUAAUCGCGCAUCAGCCAUGGCGCGGUGAAUACGUUCCCGGGCCUU
rnacentral:rRNA from 1 species